rnacentral:tRNA from 1 species
GUCCCUGUGGCUUAGUUGGUAGAGCAUGGUGUGUGCAACGCCAGGGUUGUGGGUUCGAUUCCCACGGGGGACC